AGAAUCAACGCUGGCGGCGUGCCUAACACAUGCAAGUCGAACGAGAAAGUGGAGCAAUCCAUUAGUAAAGUGGCGCACGGGUGAGUAACACGUGACUAACCUACCCUUGAGUGGGGGAUAACCUAGAGAAAUCUGGGCUAAUACCGCAUAAUACCUUCGGGUCAAAGGAGCAAUUCGCUUAAGGAGGGGUCGCGGCCGAUUAGUUAGUUGGCGGGGUAAUGGCCCACCAAGACUAUGAUCGGUA
rnacentral:rRNA from 1 species